UUCUCAGUAGGAAUAUCACUUACCUGCAGACUCCACUCGGAGUCGCAGUUAGUGCAUGAUGAGAUGACUGUGAUGAGUCUUAUGAUUAACGCAGUCUGGGAACAGGUUGUCCGAAGCCUGAACCCAAACUCUGAC